ensembl:lncRNA novel transcript
GGGAGGUCCCGGCUGAGAGCGCCGGCUGCCGGCUGGGGACCUGGUGAGUGUGAAGCUGUAACCUUCUGCUGGGGCCGGGGCCGAAGUUUUUCCGCCAGAGCAAGGAAGGCUGCCCCUGGCAGCAACUGCACUCCUUCCUUACUCCUGUUGAGAUUCAUUUUAUAGUAGGAAAUAGGCAUCUAACUACCAUACAAGUUCAGACCAAUGGAAGAAAAGAGCAGCAAAAAUUGAACUGAAUGAAUCCCAAAAGCAAGAAAUUAAAGACGCCUUUAAUUUAUUUGAUAUUGAUGGGUCUGGAACCAUCGAUGUAAAAGAAGGUUCUGAAAUUAUUUCUAAUUCUAAAUCAUUUUAAAAACCAUAUUAUUUGUGGCAAUCUUUAAGGCUUUCUUUAAAAGUAGUCUUCUGAAAGCUUAAUAUAAAGUCUCUUCAGUGCAUAUGCCUGCCCUGCAUUAGCAAAACGAUAUCUUGUUAAGCAUUUUAAUUGUGUUUUAUAAAUGAGUAGGCAAAAGCCCAGGGUGUAACAGUGAUGUACAUGAUGGCACAGUAGGACUGAAACACAGGCCUGCUGACCUAAUUUUCUGUUUAUGCUCAGUCCAUAAUAGAAAAGAGAGAAGCUCUUAAUAGGGAGUUAAAAAGCUUAGAAAGAAAUCAUGGCAUAUUAUAAUUCCUUUUCUUCCUAUUUCAGAUUGCAGUGUGGGCCUUAGGAUUUGAACCAAAGAAAGAAGAAAUUUAAAAAAUGGUAGCUGAAGUUGAUAAAGAAGGAAUUGGCACCAUUAGUUUUGAAGAUUUUUUUUUGCCAUUAUGAGUAUAAAAAUGAUAUAGUUAUGAUUUUAUUUUUCAAAGAAAUACUAGCAAUAACCUGCUACAUUUUAGGGCUGGAGCAAUCAGAAGUUUUAUAGAGAAGCAAUUAGAACUAGGUUUUUAAGGAUGGGAGAUAGGAAGAGCAAGAUUAAAUAUGUUUUCAGGGUAGUAAUGAGAAGACUAUGAUGUGGAGAAGAGGUUUUUGUCAGGAAAUAAUGAGGCUAUAUUGCAGGAUAGAGAGAAUGGGGCCAGAAUUUGGAAGCCUUUAAUUCAGCAACAUAUAUUGAAUGCCUAUUUUUGCCAGGCACUAUUCUAAGGAGCAUUGAAAGAUACAACCUUCCAUUUUGAAGCUUACAUUUUUGGUAACGGAUCUGAAUUAUGAGGUUUAAUAAGAGAUGCAUUCUGGACCACCCUGUGCCUUCUCCACCUUAGCAAGCUCUACCUUUAAGCACCUUGAGGGCAGGUGUGAGUACAUAAUUGUUAAAAGACCAAUAAAUAAAAUCAGAACACAGCUACUUGGCACAUUGCUGCUUUAGACCCCAAAGAUCUAAUUAAGUCCAGCUUGAUAAAAUAAAUAAAUGAAAGACUGGAUAGUUGCUUCUUUUUUAAAAGAGUAAAAAAGAUGAAAAAGAAGAAAUAUUGAAGACUUUCAAAUUAUUUGAUGAUGAUGAUACUGGAAGUAUAAUACUAACCGGUAUCAAGAGGUUUGCUAAGAAACCAGGGGAAAAUUUAACAUGAUGAACUUCAGGUAGAUUUUGCUUAUUUUUAUAAUUAUAAUUUAUAUGUAAUUAUAACUUAUGUGAUAAUUUAGGAUUAUAAUUCUAACUUUAGUUGCACUUAUGCAUUUAAAAUAAAAUUUGGUUUUGAAUAUGUGUUUGACUUCAUUUAUGUCAUUUUAAAUGUAUUUCAUAUAUUUACAUUUUGUUUUACAGGAAAUGCUUGAUGAAGCUGAUCAUGAUAGAGAUGGAGAAAUAAACGAGGAAGAUGUUUUGAGAGUGAUGAAAAAGACUACUCGUUAUUAAUAGCGUUGUUUUAGUCCUUGUGGAAAAUUAACAAAUUUGUAUUUGUUAUGCAGUUUUAUAAUUUAAUAUCUGAAUGUAUUCAUUUUCAGUUUUUAGUUUAUAUGUACACAUUGGCUUCUUGAUGUCUAAUCCAUGUAAGAAGUUACACAUCUCUACCAAUAUGAUGUUAAAUCUACAGCAUCAAGAAACAAAACAUAAUGACUUCUUUGAGCCAUUAAUCCAAGAACAGUAUUGAUUCUAGCUGCUCUUUUGAGAACCUUAGGUCACAAAGACUUAGAAUUUUAAAGUUUGAUGAAGUUGGCUUCACAUCCAAAUGAAUUUGGCAAACAAAACUUAUAUUUUCCUUUUGUGCAACCCAAAAAAACCUGAUGAACAUUUGCUUUUUAGUCAGUUACUCAAA